GGCAACGGACGCAAUUUUCAAUUUUUUUCGGUGGUUAUUAUAGAACCGCCGCAGGUAGGUUAAAAAUUUCCCCAAAAGUUAAAUGUUCCCUCCCCUCUCAUCAGAAACGUUUUCUUCUCUCUCGCUCCAUUCUUCUUCUCUCUCUCGCUCCAUUCUUCUUCUUCUCUCUCGCUCCAUUCUUCUUCUUCUCUCUCGCUCAUGGUCACGCCUUUGGUGCUCAUUCUUCUUCUUCUCUCUCGCUCAUGGUCACGCCUUUGGUGCUCAAGAGUCACGCCUCUAGCCUGCUGCUACGAACGUUGUGCACAACCACAGGUUCACGGGCUCGCAACCUCUACUUUCCUCUGCCUCGUCCAUUGUAAUGCCUUGCUAUCUAAUAUGAGAUCAGGUGGAACUGGCAUUGACAGCAUCUUAGAGGGGUGAGCAAAGAGGGAGGAAAGGCUGGAGUGUUGGAGAACUUUGCUAAGGGAGAGAAGUAUGCAGAGCAUUUCCUGAGGAAGUAUGUCUGCAACAGACAACCAGAGAUUAUGCCCAACAUCAACAACUUCUUCGUUGACACAAGUCGUAGCUAAGUUGCUCUGGAUAAACAAAGGUUUAUGUAAGAUGUGAAUUCUCUUAUGUUAAAGACAACUUUUAUUUUGCAUUUAGAAAACAGAAUGUGGUUAUUUUCUCUAGCCGAACAGUGUGUAUGGUGUGGUUGGGAAAUACAAUACUGUUGGAUUUGAUUUGAUGCAUUGCUGGUUGCUGCUGUUUUAAUGCUGUCCAUAUGCUUGCCGCAACAAUUUGUAGUGAAACUGUAUUGAAAAUAAAGUGAAGUACUAAACUUGUUCCUAGUUUGUUACAAUUUAAAUCACUGCCAGAAUGCCUAAACCAAUUGAUUUGUUGCUGGACAAAUUUUUUGACCUUUUGUUCUUCUCUUUUGUUUGAUGAAUUAUCAUCCACUCAUGUGUUACUAGUUGCCAAACUCCUUAAUCAAUAGUUGAAAAUUUUAUAUUUGUUGUUUAUUAACGUGAUGAAUUUAAUUGUUGUUUUCUUUAUUGCUUGAGUUGAUUUAUGUUCACAUUCUAGUUUUGCACAUUGUAUUGAAUUCCCCAGUGUCGGUUUCAAAUAUUUGAUCUGAAUGUAUUUUAUGAUCUAAUUGAGAUUUCAGUCGAAGAAAGUUUUAUUUGAAUUGACCAUUUGGAUGAGGUGUUUAGCGAGUAUCUUCUGUUGAAGAAAAUGAGUUUUUGGCAAUACAUGGCUGUGAGGUUUAGGAUUCUGUUUGGAAGUUCAAAAAUCAAUAAUGUUUUUUGCUCUCUUCUCAAAUCAAUCAUAUCGUGGGUGUUUAUUGUAGGAGAGAAUUUGAUUUCAAUUGAGAUUUGCUGCUUAAUUGGGUCUAAACCUAAAACAUAAUCGGUAAAAGGAACUAACUAAUAUUUUGUAGUCAAGUAUAGUUACUGUAAUUGAAUAUAACAAGUUUUAUGGAUUAAUGCUUUUUAUUAAUGAAUAGUUUCUUAUAUUUUUAUGUUUAAAGCAUUGAAACAAACCCAACUUCUCUAUCAAUUUUAUUCAUUUAUUUUCUUUUUAAAUUUCAUCUUGCUAAUUAUUUUUAACUAAUUGUGAACUCACUCUUAAUUUCAUACCCAAGGUUCUUGUGAAAACUGAAAAGGAUACUAGUGUCUAGGUACCUUGUAACCGUAAUUUAUUUGGAAGCUCUUUUUUUUAACUUGUUACUAUUGACGUUGUCUGAUUAUCAAAUCUUUUGGGGCUUCUUGUACGUGUCAUUUUUGUUCAAAAAAAUGUUUAUAUUUUCCUUAUUUAGCACCUUUUUAAAGUUUUAUUUUUGGUUACGGGAGUCACUUCAUCAUCUAUUGAUCUACUAGAACGUAUUUCAGAUUCUUUCAUACGAAGUUUAGAAACUGUUUGAGUAUGUUUCUUCUCAAACCUGUGCUUAUUUACCCAAAAAAAAAGAAGAAAAACCUCUGCUUUUAUGACUUGAUUCUUCAAUAUGUAAAGCUAGAGAAACCUCAUGGACUCUUAGAGCUACAAGGAGUUUGUCUAAUGUUCUUAAAUCCCACACCAACUUGGUUGCCUCUGGACAACUUUCUCAGUAGUUGGAGGGGCUGCAUAUAUCUAUUGAAGAUUACUCUCUGGUUUUUACUCUUCAAUUUCUCAGUUUCCUAUGUUUAUUCUAUCGCUCGUGCUCAUAUCAUUUUAUAUUUGCACUUAAUUUUGUUGCUACAAUUGCAGUUACAUAGUACAGACAGAACCUCAUCAAGGCUUUCUUCUAAUCCUGGUUUUGUUGGUCCUUCCCGUGGAUCUAUUU